rnacentral:tRNA from 1 species
GCAGUUAGUCCAAACAUAAGACCUCUGAUUUCGACUCAGAAAAUCAUGGUUCAACCCCAUGACUCCCUU